rnacentral:rRNA from 1 species
AUUGAACGCUGGCGGCAGGCCUAACACAUGCCAGUCGAGCGGAUGAAGGGAGCUUGCUCCUGGAUUCAGCGGCGGACGGGUGAGUAAUGCCUAGGAAUCUGCCUGGUAGUGGGGGAUAACGUCCGGAAACGGGCGCUAAUACCGCAUCCGUCCUGAGGGAGAAAGUGGGGGAUCUUCGGACCUCACGCUAUCAGAUGAGCCUAGGUCGGAUUAGCUAGUUGGUGGGGUAAAGGCCUACCAAGGCGACGAUCCGUAACUGGUCUGAGAGGAUGAUCAGUCACACUGGAACUGAGACACGGUCCAGACUCCUACGGGAGGCAGCAGUGGGGAAUAUUGGACAAUGGGCGAAAGCCUGAUCCAGCCAUGCCGCGUGUGUGAAGAAGGUCUUCGGAUUGUAAAGCACUUUAAGUUGGGAGGAAGGGCAGUAAGUUAAUACCUUGCUGUUUUGACGUUACCAACAGAAUAAGCACCGGCUAACUUCGUG